UUGAAUGGCCGACCGGCCGACGAUCAGGUUCUCUCCUUUUAUCCCCGACUUCCUCAAUCGAGACACCGAUAUCUCCUUCGCGUUCGUGUGUACAUACGUGUGUGCUCUUCUUCCUCUUCUUCCUCCUCCUCUUCUCCUUCUAACGCGUGUAGCACGAGAGUUAACAUUCUUAUCCCCUCAGUGAGUGGAACACGGGCGAGCCUCGCGUCGAGAACUCGUCAACGACGACCACGACGAUGCUCCAAGGGAGAUAUAUUCGACCAAGGUUGGAGAGCGUUGUGAAGCAAGGUGGAGAAGCAAGAUGGAGGCCGCUGAUGCGGCCGAUUCGAACGGAAUCAGUGAUGGCUAUAAAACGGAAGCAACCAUAGAAAUUUUCUUUUCUUCUUCUUUUUGAAUACAUGGUAUGUUUUACAUGAUAUGUAUUUGCUACAUUCACACAAACGGUAAUAUUAUUUCUAUUUUAUCUUACAUAUUGAUUCAUUCAUGUGAACGUAGAAAUAUAUAGGAACAAAAAAGAUCAAUUGCUCAAACUUAUAAACAAACAAUUGACGCGAAAUGCAUAUUGUCUAUAUAAAAAAGACUAUGGACUAUGACUAUGAACUUAUCAGUUAAUAUCAUUAUAUCUAUUAAUAUCUAUUAAUAAUCAAUCAACUAAUUUGAUUAAAUUUAUUGAAGUUGAUAUUUCGUUGUUACCUUUUAAAUCAUUCAUUCAAAGAUAUAAAAUUAGAGAAUGUUCUUCUUCUUUUUUAUUUUUAAACGAGAAAUUAUUCAAACACUUGAACGUAUAAUUAAUUAAUUUUAAACAUAUAUUUCUUUAACAGCUUGAAGAUUAGUAAAAUUUCUAUCUUUUAAAUAAUAGAUUGUUUAUAAAUUAUAAGUGAAAUAAAGAAAAAAUAAUUGAUAAUCCACAGAGCAAAAUUUCGAACAAAAUUAUCCAAUAUAUCCAAUGAAUAUUCAAUAAAUUUCCAUCAGAAUGAGCAACUACACAAGGCUUUAUCAUAAUAGAAAAUUCUUUCUCGACGCAAUUUCGAUCAUAAUUUACUUAAUAAUGGAAUCAAAUAAUAAUAUACACACAAACUAUUAUUUCUCUUUAAAAAUUUGUUACGUUCAGGAAUUUUUAUCUAUUAAUUUUAAUAUAGUUUUAAUUUUAUUUUUUUUAAUUCUACUUGUUUUCUCUUUUAAUUCUUGACAAUUGUUCAUAGUAAGAGUGUGUUUAAAUAUGUCACUAGAUAUCUUUCAGAGCGACCCGGUCGAUCGUUGUGCAGGGAUGUGGGUCAGGCAUACGCCCGAACCCCCUGGAUUUUCAUCUCGUCCCUUUCUCCGAUAAACAUAGAAUUUUCUCUGGAAUCCUCGGAACUUUUCACAAAAAAAUUUUCUUUAUGACGGUCAUUAUCUAAACUCGAUUAUGUCUACUUAUCUUGAAAAUAGGAAAAUAAAUUUCAUCUGUCAUAAAAGUGCAAUUAGGUAACUUAAGAUCCUCGUUAAAAACUUUUUAAUUUUAUAAUCAUGUUACUUUAUCGCUAUCUUUUUCGUGUUAUUAUAAUAUUAUUAAUAUUAAUAUAAUUUUUAAAAAGCGAAUAUUAAUUUCAAAAAGUAUGCAAUCGAUAAAUAUUGAAAAGGCCAAUGAAAAAUAUUGAUAUUCAUUAUUAUUUUACUUAUUUAAUAUUUUAUUAUAAUAAUUCAUAAAUAACAUACAAUCAUAUCGUAAAAUCACGAUCAUAACCAUAUUUUAAACAUUUUAGUCGACAACUUUAGCUGGGAUCUUGAAACAUACUUGAGAAUUGUUAUUUUCGUCAACAAGAGAUAAUUGGAUGGUCAAAGCGACUUUUGGAUAGCUUUUCAGAACUGGCAUCUUAAGGUAAUAAGUAGCUGCUUGUCCAUUUUGCAAUGGGCACUGUCCGCUCACCAGAUUCUUGCAAGCGUUUUGUUCUGGGAGUGGGUAUUGCAAGUGGCUGUUUCCUAGGUCAACAUCUACUACGGGUUUCAGAGUUUUCGUGUUUGCAACUGUAACAAAUUAUUAAAUAGAAAAUAACAUACAAUUUAAUCAUGACAUGAAUAUAUUUAUAACACGAUAUGCUGUGUCAUGUCUUGUUAAAUUUAAAUUAAUUGUACUGUUUGACGUAUCUGUUUCAUUAUACUAUUACAUAUUCCACUUUAUAUUUUUGCAUAUAUAAUAAAAAAGAUAUUAGAAUUUGUUUUAAUUGUUACAUAACAUGUAUGAAUUUGUCUUUCAUUAUUUUAUAAUAGUUAUAGAUUUUAUUUUAAUAUUUAUAAACUGUAUUUUUACUUACCAGCCUUAAAGUCAACGUUAGCCUCAACGUUAGUUCCUCUAACCAAAUUGCAAGGUAGAUUAUCGCAACCUAAAAUCUUCACAUUCGUUGGGGCUGGUUUACCGUCGCAGGGCACAUAAGCUUGCAUCGAGUUGGCGAUGAAGAGCACCGCAAAUAUGUAAACUGCAAACAUAAGUGUGUAUACUUCAUUAAGGAUUAUAAGGACUAUAAUUAAGUAAUAGAAUAGAAAUAUAAAUUUGAAAUAGAAUUUUUCUGAAAUUCCAAAAAAAAUUCUAUUCUCUUUGAAUAUCUCUAUCAAUUUAUCAUUUCAAACUCUUAUUAAAUUAAUAUCUCUUAAGAUAAUAUUUCUAUAGCUUUGAACAUUAUCAAAUUUUCUAGAUGCUUACAAUAUAUAAAAUAUUAAAAUUAAUAGUAAUUUCUUUUAUUUAAAAUUAAAUAAUAUUUAAAAAAAACUAAUGAAAAUUUAUUAUUUUAUUAGUGUUCAGAAACUAAUUAAUACAUACCAUAGGUGAGGAUUGCCAUUUUGGAUUGCUACUUCUUUCGUGUUCAAAGUAACUGAAAAUCAUUGGAUUGCGGGUAGGUAUUUAUUGGCGGUUACUAUCUAAUCGAAUCAAACAUCAAAAAUGAUUAUCAUUGACAACCUUUGAAAACACUUCAAAAACACACCUGACAUCCAAAGUACUAUGUCUGCGACAUAUUUUAUCGAUAAAAAUUUUGUAAGGUAAUAAAGCAAUAUUUGUGUUCAUUCAAUCAAGUAAAAUCUAUCCUUUAUUUCUUCUCUGAUAAUCACGAUUAUCAUUGCAGGUGGCAGCUGUGAAAACUAAAUCUUUGUGUACUUUACUAUCAUGCCACAUUGACUUUUUGUUUUAAGUAAUUACUAUUUUAUCGAUAUAAUUUUUAGAUCACAGGUAUUAAUUGGAUUCGAAUUUGCUCGUUUUUAAUUAAGAAAAACUAUCCCAUAUUAAAUUUCUUUUAAUUUAAAUAAACACAAAAUACAUUUCUAAAUUUCUUCUAAAUAUUUCUGUUAUAUAUAUAAGAUAAGAAAGAAAAGAAGAAAAAUAAUUCAAAAUUCCAAGUUAAAUGAAUUAUUUAUUUAUAAAAAAAUUAUUUAUUUCAUUUAAUACAUAACAAUUUUAUUUUUAUUUAUUUUUUAUCUAUAAAAAAUUUUUCUCUUUAUACAAAUAUAAAUAUAGAAAUUCUCGAUUGAACUUUUAAUUUAACUUUUAGAUCAAUUUUUUGCAAUCCAUGGAACUUGUUCAAUCAUUAACAUUUUUUUUCGUCCAUAAAGGGCCUUGCACAAAUUUCUGGACCAGUCUAUCUCGCAAACAGAUCGGCGAGAUUAUAAACAAAGAGUGAUAAAUGAAAUAUCGCCACGAUUCGUUCCUAAAUUGAAAUUUAAAAAAAUUAGCCACAUAUGAGAUAAAAGAACGUAACGCUGAUUAAAAAAAUUCAAGACUUUACACACGACUGAUUUUUUCUAUCAGCCAAGCUCAGGUGUUUCGAUGCAGGUGUUAAACGAAAUGAAAAAUGGCAUUACAUCAUAAAGAUGUUUAUCAAAAUCAACAAGAUAAGUAGUAUAAAUUUUAGCCUUAGUAAUUUCAUAAUCAUACGAUUCAGUCAACGAAAAACCUACACUCAUGUAUACUAUUCCAUUCGUUUAACACAGUAACAUAUUUUAUAUUUUAUUAUAAUUAUUUGUAAUUAACGUUAGAUUGUUAAAUUGCGUUAAUUUUUUAAUUGUUCAAAAUUUCAUUCAAUAGACGUACUUGUAAAUUGGCGAUGGAUAUUUAUCUAAGAGAGCACCUUCGAAAGUCUCGUAGACACCCGAGUCCUGUAGCUUUUUUAAACUCGUAUUUUGUCCCACAGAAGUGAAAUAUUGCGAAUACCUGUUGAAAUAAUCACCGUAGAACGUUUUCGCCUCCUCGGACAUCGAUCUUCUCAUCGUCUCGAAAUGUUCAACUUGUCGUGCUAAUAUAUUGCUCUCAUUUACGAACGAACCUAUGCGAGUUUAAUUUCAAUGAAUCAUCCUUUGAUUACGGACCAGGGAUAAGGCAAACGACCUUGAUGCCAUGUUUCUUCAACUCCAUCCUAAUAGCAGUGGCCCAAGCGUUGAGGGCAGCUUUUGUCCCACUGUAAGCUGCUACUCCCGGAAUCGGUUGGAUGUUACAGUGGCUCGAGAUUACGAUAAUCCGGCUGAAGUGGGCGCGAAUCAUCGGCAUCAGUUCUUGAGUGAUUCUCAUAGUGCCCAGCAAAUUUACUUCUACUUGAUUUCUAAGCUGCUCGUCUGUUUGCCAUUCGAAUUCGCCGAAGAUCAUUACCGCCGCAUUAUUGAUCAAACAUCGUAAGACUAAAACCAGUAUUCUCAUGUGAUCGUUUAUCUUUUUCCCUUUUUUGAAUUCAUAUUUUCAAUUGUUCAAUUAUUCUCUUAUCUUUGAUUUAAGUACAUAUAUAUCGACUAGACACAGAAUGUUCAUGUUAUCAAUUCUUCUAAAUAUAUUUUUUUAAAUGAUACAUUUAUGAAAAGAAUAGCUUUCAAACAAAAUUAUUAUUAAUAUUGUGAAAUUUUUCUAUUUUUUUCAUAAAACAUUUAUCUAAAAAAUAUUAAGAAUUAAUAACUUGAAUAUCUUGUAUGCAUAUAUAUAUAUAUAUAUAUAUAUAUAUAUGAUUAUAUUUUAACGCAAAUAAAAUUUACCUAAAUUAUUUUGUGUUAAGAUUGUUCGAACAGAGUUCGCGAAAUUUUCAAUACUCUUAAUGUUCGUUACAUCCAAAGGAUAAACGAGCACGUUUUCGUUUUCUAAUUGUUUAGCUCCGGGUCCAUCGAUUUGUAAUACACUAGCGAUUACAAUUGCCCCAAGCUGCCGACAAUGCAGAGCCAGACUAUAUCCCAAUCCUGAAUCGCAACCAGUCACAAUAAUAGCGUGAUUUGAGAAUAUUUUAUCCCGAGAUUUAAAACAGCAAUAUAAGUAAGUAGCACCUGAAAAAUUAUUUUAAAUGUUUUUUUUUUCAAAUCAUAAUAGCAUCGAUAAUUGAGAAUUUGAUGAUAAUAUUAUAUUCUUUAUUAAAUGUUUACAAUAUUUAAAUGUUUAUCAAUUAAAUAUAUUAAACGAUUUAAUAACAGUACGUUGUAUUGAAUUAACUAACUUUCCCGCUGAUGACGCAUAUUGAUAAAUACAAUCUACCGGUAAAUAGAUAAGGGAUAAUAAAAUUAGAAACGUAAAGUCAAGUAUUAUUCAUAUUUCAAAGAUAUAUCUGAUAUAAAUCUCAUCUUUAAUUUCUAUUAUGAUAUAAAAAUAUUAGUAAUAGAGUAUUCUUUUAUGAAAAUUAUACAUCAUUAGUAGUAAAACAUAAUUGAUCUUUGUUUAAAUUACAAAAUUCUUACCGAUACCACAUAAAGAAAUCGUUGAUGCCAAAUAUUUGUAUCCCUUGUUCCACAAAUAAAAAAGAGUAAUCGAAGUUGUUAUAUCAGUUAUAAAUAUUGUAGAAUAUGUUUUAAUAUACUUUAUAAAUCGCAUUUUAAAACUAUCAGUCGUAAUUCGCCCCAAAGAUAACACUAAUCUUCCAACUUGUUGAUUGAAAAUUUGUCUACUUUUUAUUUAUAUGUACAAAAUCUUUUUCAAAGUUAAAAAAAAAAGAUGAAAACUAAAAAUAAUACACUUGAUAUAUUAACAAGAAAUAUAAAUAAAACAUUGAUAUAUUACAUGUAAAGUAUCUAUGAAAAAAGUUAAAAUUGAAAUUCUAAUUUUUUAUUAAUACUUAUUUAUAACGGAAAUAAAUAAGGAAUGUUUCCGUUUUAAAUGAAAUAUACGAUUUGAUAAUUAAAUUAUAAAUUUUUCACAAUAUAAAAAUCACUUGAUCACUCCGCAUUAUUAGAAUAUAGAAUAAUAAUAAACACGUGAAACGAAACGAUAGUAUCCUCGUCUUGAUCGCAAAUGGCUGCUAUGGGACGUGAAAAGAAAGAAAACAAAACAUCCCCACUCUUCUACUGUAGUUCACAGUGAUUCUUUUAAAAUUCGAAAGAAAAUUUAUAAAAUUUGUGCAAUUUCUAAACAAAAUAACAAUUAUUUAAGCGUGAUAUAAUAUUUCUAUUUAUUACAAAAGUAAAGAUAUUUUUUUCGUUUUUUUUUUUUGUAUAAAGUAUUUUUCUUUAAUAUAAAAUUAAUUCAAUAUAUCAGUUUGAUCUGUUAAGAGACUUUAAUAUUUCAUGAACAUUCUCUCUUGGAUUUAUCACGAGAUUUUCAUUUAAAUUGUAAAAAUGUCAAAUCACGCAUGAAUAAAAGAAAUAGGAUAAAUUUUUUUUGCUAUAAUUUUGUUCUAUAAUAAAAAUAUUAUUAAAAACAACUGAAAGGAUUUCUUAUUUCAAUAUAUGUAUUCCUACUCCUUUUAACAAAAUUGAAAAUAUUAGAAUUAAUAUUGGAGAACAGUCAGUUUAAUUACAUUAUAAUGUUAUUUUAAAAUAAAUGUAAUAACAUAAAUAAUAAAAUUGUGUUUCUGAUUAAAACCGCUAUCACAAUAAAAUCUUUUCUGGAUAUAGCUUAAUUCUAUUGACGGCAAUAGUAUCGGGAAUAUAAGAGCUAUUUUCGCUUAAUCUUCGCGCACGAUGAUAUAAAAAACUGAUUCAUAUAAUCACAAAACUUUUUGUAAAUUUAUAAGUCUUUACAGAUCGAAAUAUACAGCUUAAUAUUAAGGCAUACUUUACACAAAAAUUAACAGAUAUUAAGGCUAGCAAUACAUUAUAUCUUAUGUUAAUUAUUCUUUCAGAAUGAAAUUAUAAAACAAUGAAUACAUUAUUCGUUCGACUAUAGUCGUUAUUCCAUUAUUUUACAAGCUUCAGUUAUUGCUUCCACACAUAUUAUAUGCUUCAUUUAUAUUAUAUUCUCAUAGUUUUUUUAAAUUUUGAUUUUAAAAAAAUUAGAGAAUAUUAAAUACCAGCAGAUUUAUCGGCGACUAAAAUAUUAGGAUCCGCAUGAAGAUCGUAACUUGGAUCGCCAUCUGUAGCCAUCCUUCCGAGCCAUGAAAAGAGAAUUAAUAUUCCAAUAAAAGCUAAUAUACCCAUGAUACCUAGCACUGCAUAUCUCUUGUACAAUGGUCCAGGUGAGUUUCUACGCCGUGUUGGUGGACUAACUAUCAAUUUCCACCAUCUUAAGAACCAUUCAAUGGCAGAUUUUCUUCUAUAUUUAUUUUCAUCAUGAUCAAAGGAUAUUUCUUUUGGAUCAUCAUAAGCUUCACAAACUUUCCUUGAUGUUGGUUGUGAUAAUCCCAUAGAUGAAUCAAUAUUUACAAUUGAAUAGGGUGGCCCAACUUUUUGAUUAUUUAAAUGCACAUUAUUUAUAUUAGUAUGAACUGAAUUAACAUUGCUACCAGAACGUGAUGUAGUUGUUGAUGGUGAUGAAGUUGUAUGAUUUUGAUACGAUGUAGUUUCAAUUCUUAAUGAAGGAUGCUCUUGUUCUGGUUUUUGUUCCCUAUCUUCACUGAGC